rnacentral:rRNA from 1 species
GGGUUGUGAGGUUAAGCGACUAAGCGUACACGGUGGAUGCCCUGGCAGUCAGAGGCGAUGAAGGACGUGCUAAUCUGCGAUAAGCGUCGGUAAGGUGAUAUGAACCGUUAUAACCGGCGAUUUCCGAAUGGGGAAACCCAGUGUGUUUCGACACACUAUCAUUAACUGAAUCCAUAGGUUAAUGAGGCGAACCGGGGGAACUGAAACAUCUAAGUACCCCGAGGAAAAGAAAUCAACCGAGAUUCCCCCAGUAGCGGCGAGCGAACGGGGAGGAGCCCAGAGCCUGAAUCAGUGUGUGUGUUAGUGGAAGCGUCUGGAAAGGCGCGCGAUACAGGGUGACAGCCCCGUACACAAAAAUGCACAUACUGUGAGCUCGAUGAGUAGGGCGGGACACGUGGUAUCCUGUCUGAAUAUGGGGGGACCAUCCUCCAAGGCUAAAUACUCCUGACUGACCGAUAGUGAACCAGUACCGUGAGGGAAAGGCGAAAAGAACCCCGGCGAGGGGAGUGAAAAAGAACCUGAAACCGUGUACGUACAAGCAGUGGGAGCCUCUUUUAUGGGGU